rnacentral:rRNA from 1 species
UACGGGGGGAGCAAGCGUUGUUCGGAUUUACUGGGCGUAAAGGGCGCGUAGGCGGCCACCGCAAGUCGACUGUGAAAUCUCCGGGCUUAACCCGGAAAGGUCAGCCGAUACUGCGGGGCUAGAGCGCAGAAGGGGCAACUGGAAUUCUCGGUGUAGCGGUGAAAUGCGUAGAUAUCGAGAGGAACACCUGCGGCGAAGGCGGGUUGCUGGGCUGACACUGACGCUGAUGCGCGAAAGCUAGGGGAGCGAACGGG